AUAACAUUUUAGAAUGGGAGAACAGGCUACAAACUUUUAUUUUCAAAAUAUAAGUUAAACUGUCUCUAAACCAUACUUGACGUGUCGCUACAAGCUUACCAUACAAAGUAGUCAAUUUUUACAUUGUGUGUAAUGUAAAGCAGACUGUUAAGUAUUGAGUAAAAACGUAUUUUACUCAGAGUAACUGAAUGCAUAUGAGCCUGGUGUGGUUGCAAGAGACCUUUGCCUUUGAACCUGAUGGGUAUGUGGCUGGUUUGGUAUACUUUCCUACUUUCACAUUACAAAUUAAAUGGAUGUCAAUGACUUGUUAUUCUUUGUAGGACACUAAGAGUUCUGCAGCAGGAUGGAGUGCAGGGUCUCAUUGGUGACGAUGAGCUCCAGAAAAUACAUCAAGCACUGGUGUCUGAUGAAAUUAAGUCGAGCCGGAUGUAUCUUUGGAGAAAUCCCGGAACCUCAUUGAAACUGAAGCAGCUUUUAAGACCAAAGCGUUUCCUUGUCAAUGAAGAAAAUAGUAUCAAACUACUUGACAGAAUAAAGGGUACUUUGGAGUUGGAUGGUGACCUGGACACACUUGAUUUUCUGUUUGAUGUGAUGAUGCCUGAAGUCACCAUCCACACCAUCAGAAUGAACGACAGCGUUUGCCGGUACAUGGCUGAGAUGUGCCUUGCCUCAGGAACUGUGUUUGAGUGAAUAUAUAGUGUACUACAGUGUUUUGUACAUGUACAAAACGUGUUUUGAAUUGUAUUAUUUAUGUUUUCAAAUACAUCUAUUUUUAUUGAAAAUAUUAAUGGUAUGUGUUGAUUUGUAUUUUAUUGAGAGAAAUGCUUGUAAACAAAGAAAACUAAUGUAACCUGGCUGUGCUGACUGACAGGGAACUGCAAUUUAACAGUGUAUUGGAAAAUGAAAAUACUCAAACGUUGUUAUUAUAAACACAUUCAUAUUUGAUUUUGUCUUUAAAAUAAUAAAGAAAAUAUAAUUCUUCAUUAUUUCCAUAUGAAGAACAAUGUCAAUAAAACAUACCCCUUGACUGCAAAAUGUAGGUAACCUAUAGCCCAUGUUGACUUUAAUUAUUAAAAUUAAUGAUAUACACGCCGUCACUAGAAGGCGCUGAUAACAAUAAUUUAAUAAUAACGUCUCCGGCGGUGGCUCAUAUGCAUUCAGUUACUGAGUAAAAUACGUUUUUACUCAAUACGUAACAGUCUGCUUUACAUUACACACAAUGUAAAAAUUGACUACUUUGUAUGGUAAGCUUGUAGCGACACGUCAAGUAUGGUUUAGAGACAGUUUAACUUAUAUUUUGAAAAUAAAAGUUUAUA